GCUGUGUGUGGUAGUGUGUGACUCUGGCCUCUGCACCCAGGGUUGGUUGACGGAGGUGACAGAGACUGAAAGUGAUGCUGAGAAGCUGUAGCAGGUCCGGCACUUUGUGGGACAGGCCUUGGGAUGGUCUGCGAUUCAAUGAGCUUUGAUUGACUCCAAGAAGACAGAACAUGGGCACAAAGCAUUCCCAGGGGUCCACAGCAACACAAACCCACGCGUGCAUUCAUUCCUCCUCUGCCCCAGGUGUGUUCCAACCAGCCAUGGUGGGAGUACAGCUGCGGACUCACCUCAGAUUUCUCCAGCCUGUUCUGAGCUUCCAUCUGAGCCACGAUUUCAUUCAUGUUUGUUUCCAACACCAUGCCACCCAUGACCACCUCCUGCAGGAUGAAGUGUACCUUAUCCAUAUGGAAGAUCAAGUCCAAUUCACAAACAUUUUCGAAACACUUAUCCAGGGUCUCCACAAAAACCUAGGAAAC